AUUGAACGCUGGCGGCAGGCCUAACACAUGCAAGUCGAACGGUAACAGGAAGAAGCUUGCUUCUUUGCUGACGAGUGGCGGACGGGUGAGUAAUGUCUGGGAAACUGCCUGAUGGAGGGGGAUAACUACUGGAAACGGUAGCUAAUACCGCAUAACGUCGCAAGACCAAAGAGGGGGACCUUCGGGCCUCUUGCCAUCGGCUGUGCCCAGAUGGGAUUAGCUAGUAGGUGGGGUAACGGCUCACCUAGGCGACGAUCCCUAGCUGGUCUGAGAGGAUGACCAGCCACACUGGAACUGAGACACGGUCCAGACUCCUACGGGAGGCAGCAGUGGGGAAUAUUGCACAGUGGGCGCAAGCCUGAUGCAGCCAUGCCGCGUGUAUGAAGAAGGCCUUCGGGUUGUAAAGUACUUUCAGCGGGGAGGAAGGGAGUAAAGUUAAUACCUUUGCUCAUUGACGUUACCCGCAGAAGAAGCACCGGCUAACUCCGU
rnacentral:rRNA from 1 species